rnacentral:rRNA from 1 species
CCUACGGGAGGCAGCAGCGAGGAAUUUUGCGCAAUGGGCGAAAGCCUGACGCAGCAACGCCGCGUGGGGGACGAAGGCCUUCGGGUCGUAAACCCCUUUUGCAGGGGAAGCAACUGACGGUACCCUGCGAACAAGCCACGGCUAACUACGUGCCAGCAGCCGCGGUAAUACGUAGGUGGCAAGCGUUGUCCGGAUUUACUGGGCGUAAAGCGCGCGCAGGCGGCUCGCCAAGUCCGGGGUGAAAUCUCCCGGCUCAACCGGGAGGGGUCUCUGGAUACUGGCAGGCUUGAGGGGAGCAGAGGAGAGUGGAAUUCCCGGUGUAGUGGUGAAAUGCGUAGAUAUCGGGAGGAACACCAGUGGCGAAGGCGGCUCUCUGGGCUCUGCCUGACGCUGAGGCGCGAAAGCGUGGGGAGCGAACCGGACUAGAUACCCGGGUAGUCCACGCUGUAAACGAUGGACACUAGGUGUGGGAGGUAUCGACCCCUUCCGUGCCGAAGCUAACGCCAUAAGUGUCCCGCCUGGGGAGUACGGCCGCAAGGCUAAAACUCAAAGGAAUUGACGG